rnacentral:lncRNA from 11 species
GGCUUCAGCAGUCUGGCUGGUUUGGGGCAAAGUUUCCCGGACAAAAAACAAGGCCGGUGAGUUAUGGGGGCAAAGAAGCCUCAUGAGGCCUCGCCUCCUCGUAAGGCCUUCCAGGAGACUUCACCAGGAAGGCGUUUGGUGGUUCGGGGAGCAGAGAAGCGGCAUUUCUCUGCUCCGCAAACCCCAAAUGCCUUCGUUCUCACUCCCCAAUCUGCCAAACGCCUUCUUAGCGAAGCCUCCAGGACAGCCUCGCAAGGCCCCCAUAACUCAAGCUGCCUCCUCCUCCUCCUCCUCCUGCACUUGCUGCAGGGAAACUCAGCCUUCGGCUUCUCCCCUUGGGCUGCUGCUGCAUCUGCCAUCGCAGGGAAGGACCUUUGCCAAUGGCCAGCCUGCCGGUUGUAGACCUGGCUAGGGCCCCACGGGUCCGGAGCCAGCCAUGGCCAAAGCUGGGCAAUGGAUCCAGGUAAAUCAAAGGGGAUCUGUGCAUGCAUAUUUGUUUCUCACACCAAUGAGGUGCUUGCUUGCCUUCCCUCUUCAGCGCUUUGAUUUGGCAGCCUCGGUCUCAGGAGGCAGGGUUCUUCCUCCUUUGCUGCCACUUAAUCAGACAAGCAGGAGCAGGCUAAGCCAGCAUUGGAUACUCAGAUGCUGGAGGGAGCAAGGAGGAAGACGUCUCCCUUCCCCUCCUCCUCCUCCUCCUCCUCCACCUCCUCUUCCUCCUCCUCUGCCCUCCCGUUUACUUCCUUUUCUCUCUCUCGGAAUGAAAUGCAACGGGAGAUCCUCAGCAAGGAAAGAGUUGUCCUUCGCGACCCUGGGAAAGGAAGGCAAGGGGCACGCAGGUCAGCUGCACUAGCUUCCUGUUCUCGCUGUGUUCCUGUUCUUGCCGCUGACCUGCACACCCCCACCUCCUCCCAGGCCUGCAACCUCUCACCAGCCUCACCGGCCUUGGUGGCCUCUUGCCUGGCCACAAUGCCUGCCCACAAUGCCUGCUUCCCCACCACCUUCGCCUUCGUCUUCCCCUUCCUCCCUGAAGGUGAAACGGCAGCACUGGACCAUGGUGCACUUCUCCGUCCUCUCCAAAAAAGGCAGUCUCAAGCCUGCUGCACUGGAGCUGGCUGAGAACACCCCCAACGCCCGCUACGUGCCUUUCUUGCUCUCGGCGCCCAGCAGGGGAGGAGGUGAAGAGGCGGCGGUGGCACAGGUGGUGAUGAACACUGACUUCCCGCACCCCUUGCUCAACCUGGACCCACACGUCUCCAUCUACAGCACCCGGCGCCCACUCCUCAGCCGUAGCCACAUCCAAGGGUGGGUCUACAACUUCCUCAAGAGACUCACCGGGUGGAAGUGCUUCGUCUACCACUUGUGACACCCCUGGCUGCGAGAGCACUGGAAAACAAUACACUGAGGCCAAUAAACAAUCUAAUAUCUUUAUUAAAGAAUUAAAGAAAUAAAACAAAAACAAGCAGAAGGUAAAGUUCAUCAAUAGACCUUUUAGGAAAGGUAAAUAUAGUCCAGUAAUAUAUUGUCCAAUGUCCAAUAUUAGAGUUUAAAGUUUGAAAUCCACAAAACUGAAACGCACUCAAACUUCCAAGCAGUUUGAGUGGGGAAAACAUCCAAGUCUUUUGCUAGAGUUCCAAAGCAAGUCCAAGGCAAGGAAUUGAAGACAAGACUGGAUUCACGGCACGACAAGGCAAGGCUGAAAUCACGGCAAGGCAAGGCAAGGAAACACGGCUAGGCAAGGCACGGCUAGGCUGGAAGGUAGUGGAUCCAAACGUGGUCCACACUUGGCUGGAAGUGAAGUUGAUCCUUCAACUGACACGUUGACUCCACGCUGGCUAGCCAGCGCACAGAACUUUUAAGGAACUUCAAAUCUUUCCACAGAGCAGGUGUCCAAAUGAACAACAUCUUCAACCAGAUGCGAUCCUCCCUGAGAAUUCUCAGGGGAAAACAGGUUAAUCAGCAGAUUCUCUAGCUGCUAAUCGCGUGCUCCUUCUUCUGCCAGCUUUCUCAAACCUACUAGUUUUCCAAAACAUCAGUCUAUCAAAGGGAGGGGAACUGGUGGGAGAAGGCUCCGUUUCAAGGGCCUUUUUAAUGAGCUGUGGGCUAGAAUUGUCAAUAGGAAGCAUCUGGAAAGGGGCAGAAUCUUGCUGAAUCGGCACAAAGCCCAUUUCCUCGUCACUUUGGUCCAUAAUGGAGGCAGGAUCAUGGCCCAAGGGUUCAGGGGACAUCACACCACUUCACCGUGUGUGUCAGCAGGGAAAAGGGGGUGGGGAGCCCUUUGGAGUCAGAAUAGGAAGGAUGUUGUGAGGUCUGUUGGAAGCUAGGUAAGUGGGGUUUAUAUAUCUGUGCAAAGUCCAGGGUUGAGAAAGAGCUCUUGUCUGUUUGAGGCUAGUGUGAAUAUUGCAAUUGGCCAGCUUGAUUAGCAUUUAAUGGCCUUGCAGAUUCAAAGCCUGGCUGCUUCCUCCCUGGGGGCAUCCUUGGUUGGGAGGUGUUAGCUGGCUCUGAUUGUUUCCUGUCUGAAUUUCCCCUGUUUUCAGAGUGUUGUUCUUUAUUUACUGUCUUGAUUUUAGAGUUUUUUUUUUAAUACCGGGGGCCAGAUUCCCUUUCGGUGUCCUUUUAAUUCCUAUGGAUUCCUAAGGACCCUUAGGGCUCUUCCACACAGCCAUAUAAUCCAGAAUAUCAAAAC